GGAGGAUGCGAGCGUUAUCCGGAUUUAUUGGGUUUAAAGGGUGCGUAGGCGGAAUAUCAAGUCAGCGGUAAAAAUUCGGGGCUCAACCCCGUCGUGCCGUUGAAACUGAUGUUCUUGAGUGGGCGAGAAGUAUGCGGAAUGCGUGGUGUAGCGGUGAAAUGCAUAGAUAUCACGCAGAACUCCGAUUGCGAAGGCAGCAUACCGGCGCCCAACUGACGCUGAAGCACGAAAGCGUGGGUAUCGAACAGGAUUAGAUACCCUGGUAGUCCACGCAGUAAACGAUGAAUGCUAAUUGUCCGGAGGGAUUGACCUCUGGGUGAUACAGCGAAAGCGUUAAGCAUUCCACCUGGGGAGUACGCCGGCAACGGUG
rnacentral:rRNA from 1 species